rnacentral:rRNA from 1 species
CAGCAGCCGCGGUAAUACAGAGGGUGCGAGCGUUAAUCGGAUUUACUGGGCGUAAAGCGUGCGUAGGCGGCUUCUUAAGUCGGAUGUGAAAUCCCUGAGCUUAACUUAGGAAUUGCAUUCGAUACUGGGAAGCUAGAGUAUGGGAGAGGAUGGUAGAAUUCCAGGUGUAGCGGUGAAAUGCGUAGAGAUCUGGAGGAAUACCGAUGGCGAAGGCAGCCAUCUGGCCUAAUACUGACGCUGAGGUAAGAAAGCAUGGGGAGCAAACAGGAUUAGAUACCCCCGUAGUCCCUGUCUCUUAUAC